UACAGAGGUCCCAAGCGUUGUUCGGAUUCACUGGGCGUAAAGGGUGCGUAGGUGGCCUGGAAAGUUUGAUGUGAAAGCUCGGAGCUUAACUCCGAAAUGGCAUUGAAUACUACUGGGCUUGAGGGUCGGAGGGGAGACUGGAAUUCUCGGUGUAGCAGUGAAAUGCGUAGAUAUCGAGAGGAACACCAGUGGCGAAGGCGGCUCUCUGGGACGGUACUGGCGCUGAGACGCGAAAGCGUGGGGAGCGAACAGG
rnacentral:rRNA from 1 species